UAACAUCUGUACUGCUGGCUUGCACGUCUUUCUUUGCUCUGCGUGAGAUCCUGCACUAACCUCCAGCUAUAGCCAUUCCCGGUGCGACCGGCAGCACGCCAUUAACCGCCUGAACUCUUUGGUUUGCUUCGUUCUUGUGAUCACUUGCUUUCCGCUCUCUUGGUGUUGCUGGAGAAUUAUCUACAAAGUCCUUUCUCUCCAAACACUUCUGCAUCUUCAGUACCUUUUCUCCUUCUGCCGUCCGAUCCUUUCUAACAAAGUCACAAUAUCCAGCAAUACAUCAAACAGGUAUGAAUUCUCAUGUUAAGUCCGUAGUAUUUGAAAGCAGAGGUGGGCUGUAACCUCCCAGGAAGAUGGUGUCCUGAGUAAAGCUUGUCCAUGAAUCAAAACAUUUGGUUCCCAAGAUGUGGUCCGUUUUUGAGUCUGUAGUGACCUCUAGUCUGUGUCCAUACUGGAUAUCCAUUGACCGCUGUGUCUCGGUGCUUAUGCUCUAUUCCCUGCCAACAGCAAACAUAAAAA